ensembl:lncRNA
UCUUAAUUAUGGUAUUUAAAGUGAUAAAUUAUUGAGAUUUUUCCUGUGAAUUGACUAAUUGUUUUGGUUGAGACUAUGUGGUAGUUUCUGGCGUUUCUAUGAGAAAUCACUCUCGAAGUCUUGAGGUUUUGAUACCAGAAGAUAGAGACAAUGAAGCCGAGAAACUCUGCAGAGAAUCUCUCGAGUCUGUCUGCACACUCUUUAUAUAGUUUUUCCUCAAGGCUGGCCGGGCACACCUUAUUCUGUAGAUAUCUGUGAAGGUCUGGAGGACUGGAGUGGAGCAAACAGCCUCUCUAACCCGUCUGACACUGAGGAGGAGGAGGAGGCUGCCUGUUUGGUUGCUGGCAGAUACAGGGCCUUCGUCGAGUGGCGUAAAAAUGGGACAGAUAACUUCAUUAUUAAGUGUGGUGAUGUCAUACAACUACAGCAUGAGGAAAAUGAUGGCCAUUGUUGUGUACUGUCACAGGCUGGUGAAGAAUCUGAGUCGCAGACAGGAAGGCCGUAUCCCUACUGCCAAUCUGCAGGGCAUGCUGGGGGAAAGCCUCAAGAAUCACUCCAACCGGCUUGGAGACCCAGGGAAUCGUAAGGCGCGGAAGCUCAGCUCGCCGUGAAGGAAUGGCCCAGUGCUAUAUUGGACCUUUAACAUUCACACUUGGUAGCUCAGACUGUAUGUGACUACAUGGAUUCAGUCCUGACCAGCAGGAUUGUGUUCCAGAUGUUUUGUACUGAUCCUCUUUGACAGAUGCUACCAAAAUGCAAAAGACAAAUUGUUGUACAUCUUACAAGAGAUCUCGACCAUUUCAGAAAACCCAGAGAGCGCUUUUAAACAUCUGUCCUCUGCCUAAACACACUUCAGUCCUCCUGACUAGGUGAAGCCUAGAACAUUCUGACUCUGAGAUUGUCCCAGUAGACUUCAGAGUUGUUUUUAAUGAAUCAAGGCCCAUCAAAAGGCCCCUUCGUUGCUGUCUUCACGGUUAACUCCCAGAAGACCUAUGAAAACAUCCUGUUCGUAAAGGACCUGACUUUUUUAACUGUGUGUUUGUGCUGUUAUUUAUCUUGUACUGUUACUGUUAUAUUUAUCCUCAAUCUGAGCUCUUCCUGAGAGCUUCAGUGCCAAAUCAUGCAGUGCCAUAAUGCAUGUUUUCCCACUUUUAUUUAAUACAGACUUUGCUCAGUAGUGCACUAGUUACCUCAAAAAAUAUUUAAAAGCACUUUAUUCAGGUCACAUAAAUUUGUGGCUCUUUGUGUCUUUCUACAGCUUUAAACUGGAUGAAUUUUGCAUGCCAGAAAUUCUUACCUCUCUUAUUUAGUAAAAUUCUCUUGUCAGGCACUUUACAUGCAGAAUCUACUCUGCCAGCUUGAAGACCUGGGGGCCGUCAUGUAAAAGUUGACUUUGGAGCCACAAAUAUGAGUUAUGAGGGGGUGAGCAGAGUGCAUGUGUGUUGAAAUCUGCGAAAUCAGAGCCGUGUUGAUGGAGGUUUCUUAUUAAGGGAGAUCAUACAGAAAACAUUAAAUAUACCCUCUAUUUAGAAUGCUUAAUUAAAUAUUAAUUGCAGACUUAUAUGAAUUUACUACAUUAAAUCAGGCCUACAGUUGGAGGGCUGACUUUGAUAUACCAGCGUUUGAAGUGGAAAUAAGCUGUGUGUAGCAGCAGGAGACGCUGUGCAGUACAUAUCUCUUAUGUUAUUAAUUUCGCUAUGAAGUUGUUCCCUUCCAGCGUGGAGCUCCAGCCAUCCACUCAAAAUCAAGCCACGUAAAGGACACAACUUCCUGAAAACUGUGCUGUUUUAGCCAUAUAUACUGUCAGCUUUGCAUAUUUAUAUGCUUAUUCAUGUCCACUUACCAAAUGUCCAACACAUUGAAUAUCUGGGAUUCAAAAUUUCAUGAUCAUUAGUUUUUCCAUCAUGUUCAUGUUCAUUUUUCAAUUCAAUUUUUCACACAGAAAUAAUGCAAAAGAGAAGCAUUUUCACUAAUGGUCUCAGAUUUUUGGACCCCAAUAUAUCUAAUAGCAUUUAAUCCUGAUUUUUGUUUUUGUUUGUUUUUUGGGACUGGCUUUUAAAUGAUUCUUUUUGAAGGAAUGUACUGUAUCUGUGUUGACUGUUGUAUUGUAACAAUAUUUAAAUUUGUACAGCCUA